GUACUCAACAAGGAAGUGACGGCUAACUACGUGCCAGCAGCCGCGGUAAAACGUAGGUCACAAGCGUUGUCCGGAAUUACUGGGUGUAAAGGGAGCGCAGGCGGGCAGACAAGUUGGAAGUGAAAUCCAUGGGCUCAACCCAUGAACUGCUUUCAAAACUGUAUGUCUUGAGUAGUGCAGAGGUAGGCGGAAUUCCCGGUGUAGCGGUGGAAUGCGUAGAUAUCGGGAGGAACACCAGUGGCGAAGGCGGCCUACUGGGCACCAACUGACGCUGAGGCUCGAAAGUGUGGGUAGCAAACAGGAUUAGAUACCCUGGUAGUCCACACCGUAAACGAUGAUUAUUAGGUGUUGGAGGAUUGACCCCUUCAGUGCCGCAGUUAACACAAUAAGUAAUCCACCUGGGGA
rnacentral:rRNA from 1 species